UAGGGAAUUUUCGUCAAUGGGGGGAACCCUGAACGAGCAAUGCCGCGUGUGUGAAGAAGGUCUUCGGAUCGUAAAGCACUGUUGUAAGUGAAGAAUGCCAUAUAGAGGAAAUGCUAUGUGGGUGACGGUAGCUUACCAGAAAGCCACGGCUAACUACGUGCCAGCAGCCGCGGUAAUACGUAGGUGGCAAGCGUUAUCCGGAAUCAUUGGGCGUAAGGGUGCGUAGGUGGCACGAUAAGUCUGAGUAAAAGGCAACAGCUCAACUGUUGUAUGCUUUGGAAACUGUCGAGCUAGAGUGCAGAAGAGGGCGAUGGAAUCCAUGUGUAGCGGUAAAAUGCGUAGAUAUAUGGAGGAACACCAGUGGCGAAGGCGGUCGCCUGGUCUGUAACUGACACUGAUGCACGAAAGCGUGGGGAGCGAACAGGAUUAGAUACC
rnacentral:rRNA from 1 species